UGGGAAUUAGCCAAGAGGAAAGGCAUUAGACUUUGAAUCUAACAUCGGUGGUUCGAAUCCACCAUUCUCAGCCA
rnacentral:tRNA from 1 species